UACAGAGGUCCCAAGCGUUGUUCGGAUUCACUGGGCGUAAAGGGUGCGUAGGCGGUCGGGUAAGUCUGAUGUGAAAUCUCACAGCUUAACUGUGAAACUGCAUUGGAUACUAUUCGGCUUGAGAGUUGGAGGGGGGACUGGAAUUCUCGGUGUAGCAGUGAAAUGCGUAGAUAUUGGAAAGACCACCAAUGGCGAAGGCACUCUACUGGGCCAUUACUGACACUGAGAGACGAAAGCUAGGGGAGCAAAUGGG
rnacentral:rRNA from 1 species